GAUGAACGCUGGCCGCGCGCCUAAUACAUGCAAGUCCAGCGAACAGAUGAGGAGCUUGCUCCUCUUAUGUUAGCGGCGGACGGGUGAGUAACACGUGGAUAACCUACCUAUAAGACUGGGAUAACUUCUGGAAACCGGAGCUAAUACCGGAUAAUAUAUUGAACCGCAUGGUUCAAUAGUGAAAGACGGUUUUGCUGUCACUUAUAGAUGGAUCCGCGCCGCAUUAGCUAGUUGGUAAGGUAACGGCUUACCAAGACAACGAUGCUUAGCCGACCUGAGAGGGUGAUCGGCCACACUGGAACUGAGACACGGUCCAGACUCCUACGGGAGGCAGCAGUAGGGAAUCUUCCGCAAUGGGCGAAAGCAUGACGGAGCAGAGCCGCGUGAGUGAUGAAGGUCUUCGGAUCGUAAAACUCUGUUAUUAGGGAAGAACAAAUGUGUAAGUAACUGUGCACGUCUUGACGGUACCUAAUCAGAAAGCCACGGCUAACUACGUG
rnacentral:rRNA from 1 species